CGCAGCCAUGCUUUGCAGAAGCUAGAGCAUUGCUCAUACUGGUAUCCGCUACUCGCCUGCCAGAGUCGUCCGAUUGUCCAUCGCUACUCCGAAAUAACCGGGAAUACAAGCCGCUCGCUAAGAUAACAAAUAAUUACACCAUACAGUGACGUGAAAGACAACACAAACGAAUGGAUACACGACAAGACUAUGAGAUGGACCAUAUGGCGUGCGAGAGAUGAUAUUUGAUGGAGGAAUACGACGUGGUUGAAGUCUACACCUGUCCGAAGCUUUUUUGACGAGAAGAUAAAACGUCCCGUCCCCCUUUUUUUGCCUCCCGAGAUGAAUUCGGACUAACCAUAAUUUUGAAUCUAGUCACCAAAAAACAGUGCUAAUGACGACUUUAACCCAUUACGCACCAAGCUCAAUGGCCGCCGGCCUUCAAUAGGCCCAGCCUAUUGCAAAUAUUUAAGUGUUUAAUUUUCUAAUUUUGCCAAAUUACAUUAAAGUUUCACGGUGGGGUAAUGUAUAUACAUUUAUCAGCAGCUUUGCCUACCAUUACAGAAUGAUUGGCUGUUUCGGGAGUCCAACUUCAAAGAACAACGACAUCGGCAUUGACAAGAUGUAUAUCCACAUAACUAUUCGCACUGAAGGUCUGAUGGAACGGGUGGGUACACUGAAGGUCUGAUGGAACGGGUGGGUACACUGAAGGUCUGAUGGAACGGGUGGGUACACUGAAGGUCUGAUGGAACGGGUGGGUACAUUGAAAUGGAAAGGAAUAGUAUGGGUCGAAAUGAUCAACUCCGAUUUCAACGGCAAAAUGUAGCUCUCUCUCUCUCUCUCUCUCUCUCUCACACACACACACACACACACACACACACACACACACACACACACACACACAGAGUGAUCUGAGGUUCUGGUUCUGGCUCUCCGUGUUCACAGCGGACCUUGAUUUAAUAUCUUACAAUUAAGGCACGCGGUGAAUGCCAAGAGCGGAGCCUGAUAUCGUCGGCGGGAGCGCACACAGCUUUCACUUAAACAACACGCUAAAGGGUUGGGGAAAAUGUUUGUGUCUGCAAUUGUUGUCUGUAAAUUCCCCUCUAUUUCGUAUUGUUUUCUUUUAUCAGAAUAAAGAAAGUGCACCCAAUA